rnacentral:tRNA from 2 species
UGCUAAAAAAGCUAUUAGCGUUAGUCUUGUAAACUAAAGACAGAAUAAUUUAUUCUUUUAGCAA